UGUCAGAAGUGGGAUUCGAACCCACGCCCAUAAGAGUGGAGCGCGGCCUGAACGCAGCGCCUUUGAAGGCUCGGCCAUCCUGAC